CAAAAACAAAACCCAAGUCUUGACUAUCCCUGGAACGAGACAAUGAGCCCCACAGUCUAGAAGACGUGCAGAUAUGACUGUAUUAUAAAGCUUGAGUAUCUCCGACUUAUGCUUAUUGUCUCAAGAUGUGAGUUCCCAGCUACAGUGCCAUGCCUGUCAGUCUGCUAGCCUGUUGCCAUGCUUCCUGCCCUGGUAGUCAUGGACUCAUCCUCUAAAAUGUAACCCAAAUGUGAUUACCUGAAUGAAUGUCGCUGUAAGGGAUGCUGGGAAAUGCGCUUUUGCUUCAGAGAGACAUUCCAGCUGACGAUGCAUAAGUGUUUUAUGACUCAGGAAAUCAGGUGGUUACCAAAGAGCUACAGCGUCCAGCGUCGGGACAACCUUCCAGUGGUAACUUCCUCCUGAGUUUGGUUACACACACAUUUCCCCACUCUUUCUGAUGACAUUCAUUUCCUUUUGCUUCAUUGUGGUGCCGGGCGUGGAUCCUGGGGCCUUUCAGAUGCUAAAGUGUUCUCCCCUUUACACGUGUCCUCGGUACCAUUAGUUUUAUGGAGGGGUUUCUGGACUCCCCAGUGUAUAAAAUGUUCAUUACUCUUCCCUGCCCUUCCUAUUCAUGCCUCUACUAACUGUGUUUGCCUCUGGUUCUGUAUCCACAAUUAAAAUGUCUAUAAUUGGAUUUCAAAUAUUGACAGUCAAUAAAGCAUUUUGGGAGUACA